rnacentral:lncRNA from 1 species
UUCUUCUUGGGCAAGGUAGUGGUUUUUUAAUAUUGACAUGAAUUUACUUCACAAAAGGCAAGUCAAUAUAAAAAAAGACGGGAUAAGGACUAAAUAUCAUUUGGAAUAAUCCUGUUUUCUCCACAAGUGAACAAAGAGUAAAUAAUUCAACUGUCAAGGUGUCAACACCAUUAAACUGAAGUGAUAACCCAUUCAGCUUCUAUAAAUUUAAAACACAUCAAGGUAUCAGCACUGCUAACUGGGAUAUAGGACAGAUUUUUUUGGUGUUUAUUUG